GACGAACGCUGGCGGCGUGCUUAACACAUGCAAGUCGAACGGAAAGGCCCUGCUUUUGUGGGGUGCUCGAGUGGCGAACGGGUGAGUAACACGUGAGUAACCUGCCCUUGACUUUGGGAUAACUUCAGGAAACUGGGGCUAAUACCGGAUAGGAGCUCCUGCUGCAUGGUGGGGGUUGGAACGUUUCGGCGGGUGGGGAUGGACUCGCGGCUUACCAGCUUGUUGGUGGGGUAGUGGCUUACCCAGGCUUUGACCGGUAGCCGGCCUGAGAGGGUGACCGGCGACAUGGGGACUGAGAUACGGCCCAGACUCCUACGGGAGGCAGCAGUGGGGAAUAUUGCACAAUGGGCGGAAGCCUGAUGCAGCAACGCCGCGUGCGUGAAGACGGCCUUCGGGUUGUAAACCGCUUUCGCCUGUGACGAAGCGGGAGUGACGGUAAUGGGUAAAGAAGCACCGGCUAACUACGUG
rnacentral:rRNA from 1 species